rnacentral:misc_RNA from 1 species
UUUCCGUAGGUGAACCUGCGGAAGGAUCAUUAGUGAAUAAACAAGUGCAGGUUGUGCUGGCCUUCUUGGUAUGUGCACGCCUGCCAAAGUCUCAUUCCAUCUUCCCACCUGUGCACUCUGUGUAGAUUCUGUAUGCUGUUGUCAAGCCUUUAUUGUGCCUGGUUGAGAGGAGUUGCUUGUUUUCACAAACAAGCUCUUCUUGGGCAUGCAGGUCUAUGUUUAUAUCAACACCAUAUGAAUGUUUUAGAAUGUGUAUCAGGCUUUUGGCCUUUAAAUUAUAUACAACUUUCAACAACGGAUCUCUUGGCUCUC